rnacentral:tRNA from 1 species
ACGAAAGAUUGGUGACCGGUAAGAAUCCACAACAAGUUGUUCUUCGAAGAUGUAUCUGAGGGUCUGUAGCUCAGUUGGUUAGAGCACACGCUUGAUAAGCGUGGGGUCACAAGUUCAAGUCUUGUCAGACCCACCACUACUGACGAAGUGAUGAAUAAUCACAAGCUGCUAGAUAAAAAGAUAUGUCGUUCAUUAUGAUUAAAGCUGGGGACUUAGCUUAGUUGGUAGAGCGCCUGCUUUGCACGCAGGAGGUCAGGAGUUCGACUCUCCUAGUCUCCACCAAAUUCGAGGGUAAACAAAGCAACGCUUUGUCCGAGAAUUUAAGCAAACAGCUAUGCUGUGCGCAGGCACACAUAGAACGAAGCUUGGAGCUAAAGAUUACAGAACUUAGUAAGCAAAUAGCUUCUUAACUUCUGUGAUUUAUCACAGUUUACUACGCACCGACGAGGUGGUAGUUAAUCAUUAACAGAUUAGAAAAUUGAGUCUGAAAUAAAUUGUUCAAACUCGAUUAAAUAGGAAGAUAACAAGUAAUUGUUAAAUUAAUAUUUAAUCUGAGAACUAGCAAAAACACUGAAUCAAGCGUUUUGGUAUAUGAAUUUAGAUUGAAGCUGUAUGGUGAUUAAAUUCACAGACAACAAACCAGUAGCAAUUAAGUUUGCAACGAUAACACUCACUUGUAUGUGUUAACGACUGUUUGGGGUUGUAU